rnacentral:rRNA from 1 species
GACGAACGCUGGCGGCGUGCUUAACACAUGCAAGUCGAACGGUAAGGCUCCAGCUUGCUGGGGUACACGAGUGGCGAACGGGUGAGUAACACGUGGGUGACCUGCCCUGCACUUCGGGAUAAGCCUGGGAAACUGGGUCUAAUACCGGAUAGGACUGCACCGUGAGGGUGUGGUGGAAAGUUUUUUCGGUGUGGGAUGGGCCCGCGGCCUAUCAGCUUGUUGGUGGGGUAAUGGCCUACCAAGGCGGCGACGGGUAGCCGGCCUGAGAGGGUGGACGGCCACAUUGGGACUGAGACACGGCCCAGACUCCUACGGGAGGCAGCAGUGGGGAAUAUUGCACAAUGGGCGGAAGCCUGAUGCAGCGACGCCGCGUGGGGGAUGACGGCCUUCGGGUUGUAAACUCCUUUCACCAUCGACGAAGGGUUUCUGACGGUAGAUGGAGAAGAAGCACCGGCUAACUACGUGCCAGCAGCCGCGGUAAUACGUAGGGUGCGAGCGUUGUCCGGAAUUACUGGGCGUAAAGAGCUCGUAGGUGGUUUGUCGCGUCGUCUGUGAAGUUCCGGGGCUUAACUCCGGGCGUGCAGGCGAUACGGGCAUAACUUGAGUACUGUAGGGGAGACUGGAAUUCCUGGUGUAGCGGUGAAAUGCGCAGAUAUCAGGAGGAACACCGGUGGCGAAGGCGGGUCUCUGGGCAGUAACUGACGCUGAGGAGCGAAAGCAUGGGGAGCGAACAGGAUUAGAUACCCUGGUAGUCCAUGCCGUAAACGGUGGGCGCUAGGUGUGGGUUUCCUUCCACGGGAUCCGUGCCGUAGCUAACGCAUUAAGCGCCCCGCCUGGGGAGUACGGCCGCAAGGCUAAAACUCAAAGGAAUUGACGGGGGCCCGCACAAGCGGCGGAGCAUGUGGAUUAAUUCGAUGCAACGCGAAGAACCUUACCUGGGCUUGACAUAUACAGGAUCGCGCCAGAGAUGGUGUUUCCCUUGUGGCUUGUAUACAGGUGGUGCAUGGUUGUCGUCAGCUCGUGUCGUGAGAUGUUGGGUUAAGUCCCGCAACGAGCGCAACCCUUGUCUUAUGUUGCCAGCACGUUGUGGUGGGGACUCGUAAGAAACUGCCGGGGUUAACUCGGAGGAAGGUGGGGAUGACGUCAAAUCAUCAUGCCCCUUAUGUCCAGGGCUUCACACAUGCUACAAUGGUCGGUACAGUGGGUUGCCAGUCCGUGAGGGCGAGCUAAUCCCGCAAAGCCGGUCUCAGUUCGGAUCGGGGUCUGCAACUCGACCCCGUGAAGUCGGAGUCGCUAGUAAUCGCAGAUCAGCAACGCUGCGGUGAAUACGUUCCCGGGCCU